AGAGUUUGAUCCUGGCUCAGAACGAACGCUGGCGGCGUGCCUAACACAUGCAAGUCGAACGGAUUUGAGGGGCUUGCUCCUCAAGUUAGUGGCGCACGGGUGAGUAACGCGUAGAUAAUCUGCCCGACGAUCUGGGAUAACACUUCGAAAGGGGUGCUAAUACCGGAUAAGCCCACGGGGACUUUGGUCUUUGCGGGAAAAGGGGGGGACCUUCGGGCCUUCUGUCGUCGGAUGAGUCUGCGUACCAUUAGCUAGUUGGUAGGGUAAAGGCCUACCAAGGCUACGAUGGUUAGCUGGUCUGAGAGGAUGAUCAGCCACACUGGAACUGAGACACGGUCCAGACUCCUACGGGAGGCAGCAGUGGGGAAUUUUGCGCAAUGGGCGAAAGCCUGACGCAGCAACGCCGCGUGAGUGAUGAAGGCUUUCGGGUCGUAAAGCUCUGUCGAGGGGAAAGAAGUGUAUUGUGGCUAAUAUUCACGAUACUUGACGGUACCCCUAAAGGAAGCACCGGCUAACUCCGUGCCAGCAGCCGCGGUAAUACGGGGGGUGCAAGCGUUGUUCGGAAUUAUUGGGCGUAAAGCGCGUGUAGGCGGUUUGUUUAGUCUGAUGUGAAAGCCCUGGGCUCAACCCAGGAAGUGCAUUGGAAACUGGCAGACUUGAAUACGGGAGAGGGUAGUGGAAUUCCUAGUGUAGGAGUGAAAUCCGUAGAUAUUAGGAGGAACACCGGUGGCGAAGGCGGCUGCCUGGACCGAUAUUGACGCUGAGACGCGAAAGCGUGGGUAGCAAACAGGAUUAGAUACCCUGGCUAGUCCACGCCGUAAACGAUGAGUACUAGGUGUUGCGGGUAUUGACCCCUGCAGUGCCGCAGCUAACGCAUUAAGUACUCCGCCUGGGAAGUACGGUCGCAGACUAAAACUCAAAGGAUUG
rnacentral:rRNA from 1 species